GACGAACGCUGGCGGCGUGCCUAACACAUGCAAGUCGAACGGAACUUCUCUUGGUGGCAACAUCUUGGGUUGUUUAGUGGCGAACGGGUGAGUAACACGUGAGGAACCUGCCCCGGAGACCGGGAUAACAGAAGGAAACUUCUGCUAAUACCGGAUGUCCCCAUCGUGCCGCAUGGUGUGGUGAGGAAAUGGGUUUCCGCUUCGGGAGGGUCUCGCGGCCUAUCAGCUUGUUGGUGGGGUAAUGGCCUACCAAGGCGUCGACGGGUAGCUGGUCUGAGAGGACGAUCAGCCACACUGGGACUGAGACACGGCCCCAGACUCCUACGGGAGGCAGCAGUGGGGAAUCUUGCGCAAUGGGCGAAAGCCUGACGCAGCAACGCCGCGUGCGGGAUGAAGGCCUGGUGU
rnacentral:rRNA from 1 species